GGAGGAGUACCCAAGUGGCUGAAGGGGACGGUUUGCUAAAUCGUUAGACUGGAGAGAUCUGGUGCGGGAGUUCGAAUCUCCCCUCCUCCGCCA
rnacentral:tRNA from 2 species